GACAGGUUUCAGACUGGAGACAGAUUAAUAGAAGAAGAAGAUAUAGAUGAAAAUGACUUCACCCAGAGGGAUUUUGUGUCACUUAGAGAAGAUUCCGAAGUAUCAUUUAACUCAACUAGAAACAAAUCUGCAUUGUCCAGUUCUGGAAGGAAAGGAGAUAGAUCAAGCCAGUAUGCAACUCCACAUAAAUCAUCCCGUCACAAAUUGAAGGCAGCUCAAAGAUAAAACAUGUGUACCCUUACAGCAUGACAGUAUUAUAUAUUAUAGAGACGAUAUCUGAAUAAAA